GAAAUAUUAUAAAAUUUAAACUUCUAAUUUAAAUAAAAGUGAUUUAAAUCAUUUAUAUUUCU
rnacentral:tRNA from 1 species